CCGCCCCCACGCCCUCCCAUCUCUCCCUCCUUCCUGCCGUCCCCCGCCUGAGGGAGGGGAGCGGUGCAGCAGACAUCCGAGGGCAGCUGGGACCCCCUGACUCAGCCGACGGGUGAGUCAGGCUCCCUGCAGGCCACACCGGACCCCCCCAGGGCGGGGAUUUCCCCAAGAUGAGAAAUCAGCCACCGGAAGUCACGCCGGACCUUGGACGGGCAGACAGAGGCUGGGAGGAGUUCUGGGUGCAGAGCCCCCCAACCUGUGCUCUCAUCUCUUGCUCUGGGGUAAGCCAGUGGCCAUGCUAUAAGGACACUCAAGCCACCCUAUGAAGAAGCCCACAUGAAGAGGAACUGAGAUAUCUGGCCAACAGCCAGCCAGUCACUGAGCCUGCCAACCACGCUGUGGCAGGUACCUCCAGCCCCAGACACCUGCAGCCUCCACUGAAAGCUCAAUGGCAGCCUCAUGAGACCCUGGACCGGAACCACCCAACGAAGCGGCUCCUGUAUUCCUGAUUGACAGAAACUACGGGAUCAUAAAUGCUUGCUGUUCAGUCUGCCAAGUGUUGGCGUGAUUUGUUAAACAGCAACCAGUAACUAAUACGCCACCCAUGGCUGCCGCGUUCCUGCUGUGGGGCCAGCACUAUUCCAUGCUUAGAGGCUCCAUCAAUACCUGUGAUGGACUAAAUGGUCAGUACAAACAACAGCUCCUCUGUAAUGGUAUGAGGCAGACAGGUUUCUAAAGGCAAUAUGCUAAGGUGCAAACUCAACCCCAAAAGACCACAUAGUGUAUCAUCCCAUUUAUAUGAAAUGUCCAGAACAGGCAAAUCCAUAGAGACAGAAAGCAGAUUAGUGGUUGCCAGAGGCUGAGAGAUGGAAGAAAAGUAGAGAGUAACUGCUAAUGGUGUGAAAUCUCUUUUUGGAGUGAUGGCAUGAUGGCUCAUGCCUGUAAUCCUAGCACUUUGGGAUGCCAAUGCGGGUGGAUCACCUGAGGUUAAGAGUUCGAGACCAGGCUGGCCAACAUGGUGAAACCCCAUCUCUACUAAAAAUACAUAAAGUAGCCCGGUGUGGUGGUGGGCGCCUGUAAUCCCAGCUACUCGGGAGGCUGAAACAGAAGGAUCACUUGAACCCGGGAGGCAGAGGUUGCAAUGAGCCGAGAUCACGCCACUGCACUUCAGCCUGUGUGACAGGAGUGAAACUCCAUCUCAAAAAUAAAAACGAAAACAAUAACAACAACAGCAACAAAAAACCAUUGCAUUGUGCACAUUAAAUGAAUUGUAUGGUAUGUGAAUUCUAGCUCAAUAAAGCUUCUUAUGCUAAAACAUGACGAGGAAGAAGAGGAGGAGGAGAAGAGGCAAAGUCACUGGUGCCCAAGGAAUGGCACCAGGAGUGGUCUCCAGGAAGGCUGGCCACCUGUAGGGCUGGGAGAGCUCUGUGAUGCUGACAUCAGGGGCCUUCUUCAUGCCUGAGAAACAGGACAUGGGCUAAGGGCGGCUAACCAAGGCCUGGGAGAAUAUUGAGAGGUAAACAGGCGAUGUGGGUGUGGGGCGCUCAGCCUACUUGGCCAAAGGGUGAGUUCUUGCUAAUUUCACAGGGAGAGCCUGACUGGUCUCAAGCACCUGAGGCCCAGCAUGAGAAGUCAACAUCCCUGACUUCUCAUCCUCUAUAGAAAUUUCCCCCAGACCAGGCGCGGUGGCUCACGCCUGUAAUCCCAGCACUUUGGCAGGCCAAGGUGGGCGGAUCACCUGAAGUCAGGAGUUCAAGACCAGCCUGGCCAACACCGUGAAACCCCGUCUCUACUAAAAAUACAAAAAUUA
rnacentral:lncRNA from 10 species